UCUGAGCUUAUUGAAGUGACUACAAAUCCCAUUCAUUGUGGGCAAGACUGAUCCCAGUUAUUAGGAUUGUUAAAGCAGAAAAGCAGAAGAGACGCUUUUUGAAGACCAAAUCCAGAGUCAGCAGGACCUAGGGCCUAGAAGGAUCAGGCUGAAAUCAGGAGGACUUUGUCUGAAACUGUACCCUUGCCUGAUGUCUUCUCCUUACUCUCCUGCUCUCCAAU